AAUCCAUAGGUUAAUGAGGCGAACCGGGGGAACUGAAACAUCUAAGUACCCCGAGGAAAAGAAAUCAACCGAGAUUCCCCCAGUAGCGGCGAGCGAACGGGGAGGAGCCCAGAGCCUGAAUCAGCAUGUGUGUUAGUGGAAGCGUCUGGAAAGGCGCGCGAUACAGGGUGACAGCCCCGUACACAAAAGCGCAUGUGCUGUGAGCUCGAUGAGUAGGGCGGGACACGUGGUAUCCUGUCUGAAUAUGGGGGGACCAUCCUCCAAGGCUAAAUACUCCUGACUGACCGAUAGUGAACCAGUACCGUGAGGGAAAGGCGAAAAGAACCCCGGCGAGGGGAGUGAAAAAGAACCUGAAACCGUGUACGUACAAGCAGUGGGAGCACAGGUUUACCUGUGUGACUGCGUACCUUUUGUAUAAUGGGUCAGCGACUUAUAUUCUGUAGCAAG
rnacentral:rRNA from 10 species